rnacentral:rRNA from 1 species
ACGCUCGACACCUACAGGAGGCAGCAGUAGGGAAUCUUCCACAAUGGGCGCAAGCCUGAUGGAGCAACACCGCGUGAGUGAAGAAGGGUUUCGGCUCGUAAAGCUCUGUUGUUGGAGAAGAACGUGCGUGAGAGUAACUGUUCACGCAGUGACGGUAUCCAACCAGAAAGUCACGGCUAACUACGUGCUAGCAGCCGCGGUAAUCUGAGCGGGCUGGCAAGGC